rnacentral:lncRNA from 1 species
UCUGCUCUUAUAACACACACAAGUACUUCCUAAGUUGAGGCACAUGGAAGACAUCAUACACUCCUUCUGAACUUUCAGGUAGCUCUGUUUGGUAAGCCACUUCGUUCCAUAUUUCUUACAUCUUGAAAGGCCCGACAUACCUUGGUGCUAACUUUCCUUUCACACUUCUCUUAUGUGCCACUUCCCAAAAUCACAUAGUUUUCCACUCCAAAAUUAAUUCUCUUCUAAGGUGUCAACAUAACUCUUAUGUCGAGACUGUGCCACCCUUAGAUUAUCUCCGAUCACUCUCACUUGCUGUUCUGCAUCACUUAGAACUUCUAGCCCAAACACUUGUGUUCUCCCAUUUGAUUUCAAAUCAACAGGGUUCUACACUUACAUCCAUAUACACUCUCAAAAGGCUCCCACUGAAAGCUCUAACCGUUGUUCUAAGAAAACUUCGCAUACGGUAAACUCUUUGUACCAUACUGCAAUACACCAGCUCACAACAUAUCUUCUAAGUAAUCUUUGUAGUUCCUGUGGUUCCCAAAUGAGUAAUUUGUAAUGCUCAUUUGGCAGUGCUAGUGACAUCACUCCAGUUCAACACAUCAACUCCUCAAACCUUGGUGUUAUUUGAACUCCUCUAGCACACUCUUUAUGCUCUGACGCAAAGGCUUUUUUUUCUCCUUCAAGUGAUAGCAUUUUUUUUCCAGUCAUAACUCUUGAUUCACUCAAAUCCAUCAAUGAUGUGACCAGCUCAAAUCCAUUUUCCUAAAGAUGCCCUCUAGAUACUUACAUUCUACGCAGAUAUCACUCCUACAUUCAAGGGGAUAAUAUCUCCACGAUCCACUAUGGAUACCUCCACAUUACAUGUCAGUUAAUCCAACCCACUUAGUUGACUUACGCGCAAGCCAUUACUUUUCUUGUGUAGAGCACAUCUAAAGUCUUGCUAGGAUAAAAGAACUCUAUUUAUCAAUCUUUAUAACACUUUCCAUGAACCACUGAUAGAAUCUUAUCAUUCCAAGUCAAUCUGUUAUUUACUCUUAUGUUAAGAUCACAUUGGCCCCAGCAAAACUAUGAUAGCCUCUUGCCAUAUCUAUAAAACUCUAAGUCUCCUUCACUUUCCUUUGGUGGUUUCCAACUCUUGCAUCUUUAACUUUCUUAAGUCCAUCAUUAAAGAUGAUGUCUCCUGGAUGAGAACUUCCAUUAACCAGAACAUACUGGUCAUGCUCUCUUUAGCAAUGAAGUCUUUUGAGUCUCCGUAGAAUCAAUAGUAGAUGUAGCAUAUCCACUUCCUAAGUUGUCAAGUGACCAAUUUCACUAACUUGUGCCAGAGUAGAUGACUAUAAUCAUGGGAUAUCUCCAGAGACAACCUCUCACUUCCUGGUAAAUUGAAAGGGCAUUAAUCUAUCAUAUCAAGGUACUACCCCCCUUAAGAUGAGAUGGGUCGGGGGACAGUUUGGACUAGCUCUCACAUUCCGUCUUAGCUGCUACACAUCAUAUAGUAUUUUAAUUCAUUGUAUCAAGUCUCUUGAUCCGGAGUGGGUUUCAUCACUCAGUCCCAUCUAUUGGUACCUCUAUCAGAGUUGAAUUGCUUUGCUCUUACAUCCCAUGUAUAACUUUGUAGACUUUGGUGUCACCUGAUUCUCACAAGCACCACUUCCAAGCUUUGAGUAUCGGCAAUGACCUAUAUCUCCAUCCAUAUUAGCACACUUCAAUGGAACCAUUUCUUGCAUCAAAAACCAAAUUUACCAAACACUUGAGGUCCUUAUCGAUGAUCCAACAUUAACCAAUUCUUCUCCUUGUAACUCCUUUGAUAAGACUACCCCCCUUAGAAUAGGUAACUAGGGGUUUAAAUGGGUAGUUUGGUCCAUGUUUCAAGUGGGCUUCAGAUCUUCUAAUACCGAAGAGAAACUCAUGUGCACUGAUAUGUACAAGUAGUCUGAAUCCCUCACGAUACGAAAACACCAGCACAGUAAAAUAUAAAUAACUCCUUUUCUGUUAAUCCAAUAAGGUCUUAGCCUAUACCGUUAGAAACCUUAUCAAAUUCCCUACAACUUUCAUAUAGAAGGCUUCCUUAGUUUUUGUCAUUAAACCUAGGUAAAACAGCCAUACAUGAUAUCUAUCCCGACAAUGUCUCAGCAUCGGUGCAGCAACUUGCAAUCUCGAGUUACUUAGAUCAUAUGGGAACGAGCCUUACAUGGUUGAAAAGCUUAUGAAGUCCUCCACAACUUCUGUAUAUCACACUUUUCCAGAUUCUGAUGCUAAGUUGGCUGAAAAGUAGGAACUAACUAGAACUGUCCAGAUUUUGAACUGUGCAGCAACAGCAACUUAU